GACGAACGCUGGCGGCGUGCUUAACACAUGCAAGUCGAACGGAAAGGCCCUGCUUUUGUCGGGUGCUCGAGUGGCGAACGGGUGAGUAACACGUGAGUAACCUGCCCUUGACUUUGGGAUAACUUCAGGAAACUGGGGCUAAUACCGGAUAGGAGCUCCUGCUGCAUGGUGGGGGUUGGAAAGUUUCGGCGGUUGGAGAUGGACUCGCGGCUUAUCAGCUUGUUGGUGGGGUAGUGGCUUACCAAGGCUUUGACGGGUAGCCGGCCUGAGAGGGUGACCGGCCACAUUGGGACUGAGAUACGGCCCAGACUCCUACGGGAGGCAGCAGUGGGGAAUAUUGCACAAUGGGCGGAAGCCUGAUGCAGCAACGCCGCGUGCGGGAUGACGGCCUUCGGGUUGUAAACCGCUUUCGCCUGUGACGAAGCGUGAGUGACGGUAAUGGGUAAAGAAGCACCGGCUAACUACGCG
rnacentral:rRNA from 1 species